GCCGGGCGAGGUGGCGGGCGUCUGUAGUCCCAGCUACUCGGGAGGCUGAGGCAGGAGAAUGGUCUAAACCCGGGAGGCGGAGCUUGCAGUGAGCUGAGAUCCGGCCACUGCACCCCAGCCUGGGCGACAGAGCAAGACUCUGUCUCAAAAAAAAAAAAAAAAAAAAGAAUCUAAUCUUUUCAUUUUCUUUUCUUUUCUUUUUUUUUUUCGAGACGGAGCCUCGCUCUGUCGCGGCCCAGGCUGGAGCGCAGUGGCCGGAUCUCAGCUCACUGCAAGCUCCGCCUCCCGGGUUUACGGCCAUUCUCCUGCCUCAG
rnacentral:SRP_RNA from 1 species